CACUGUUUCUAUCAUUUUCUCUCCAUCUAGCCAUUGAUCUCUGAUUCCCCUGCUCCGCUUCUCUGUCUCUCAUCCCUGUCACCACCUCCCUCUCUGUCACUUUCUUAUUCUCUCCCUGCCUCUUUGCACGCUCUUUGCACAUCAGGCCCGGCCCCAGCCCAGGGUCUCUGGGCUCCAGGAAGCCAGCCAGGGGCUGUGCGGGCUGCGCUGUAACUCAGGAACUCCGCCAGCAAUCAUUUCAUUAGGCAGGAAUGGCGUUCCCAUUACCAGAUAGCAGGCCUGCUUCUUCCCCGCCAUGGCCCCCUCCCCGCUGCAAAGCCCCCUUGCAACUUCCUGCUCGCAGCAGCCACACAAGGCCUCAUUCUAAUCCUCCAACUUGUCUGUUUAGUGUCUUUGGAGAGGGGAAAGGAGCAGAAAAGUAGCUUGUCUUUUAUUUUUAUUUGCCUUCUUUUUUUUCCUUCCUCCAGAUAUCCCCCUGGGGCACCGGCCUAGAACAGAGCAACAAAUAUUUACUAAUUCCAUUAACAGAAGAGAGUUGGAAUUUUUUUUUCCCAAGCGAAUAUCCGAGGCCCCAAGUUCAUGUAGCCACCCAAAGUUACACUUUGGUUCACCAAGACGAAGACUCAUCCUUCCUCUCUCUAUGGAUCUUUCAGAUGAAGAAAUUAAGGCUCAGGAGGGAGGAAAAAAAUAAAAGAAAGAAUUGUCCAAGGUCACCAAGGCAUCUGGACUCCCAUAUGUUGAGCUACUUCUGCUUGUGGGGCAGCUGCAAUACAUGAAUUCUUCACUACCAACUUAAUAUAAGCUAAGGAAUGCAAAAGAUUGCCAGCAAAUGACCAGAAGCUAGAGGGGAGGCAUGGAACAGAUCUUCUCUCACAGCCUCAGAAGGAACUAGCCCUACUGACAGCUCGAUCUCAGACUUCUAGACUCCAGACUGGUGAGACAACAUAUUUCUGUUGUUUAAGCCACCCAGUUUGUGGCAAUUUGUUACGGCAGACCAGCAAAUGAAUACAGGAUCUCUACAAAAUACACUCACCUUUCAGGCAGGCCAAGAGGAUUGUUUACUGUCAGAGCUCCAAGCCCGGAACUUACUCACACACCAAAAAAGGGGCAUGGAAGUGGGAGCAAGGAUGGAGUCACGAUCCCAAAGUCCCGGAGCAUCUUCUCCACACAUUCAUGAGAGUCAGGCACAGGUUUUUAUCUCAUGCCCACAUUCAGGGGGCCAUCAUCCUGAGCCUGCACCCCCAGAGAAAGUGAGGCCCAGGAAUUUGUGAGUUUGUUGUUGCUUGUGUUACCGAAUAUCCAUGAACUGCAAAAUGGCACCAUGACCUAAUGAAGUAUUAACCCUGCCUCAUCACUGCACAUCAACCAUGAAAGCAGGCUCUUCUUGGCCAGGGCUGUUUCAAGGAGAUUUAGGAAUAUAUUUGAGGCUUCUGAAGGAUAGUUGGAAAUUAGGGGGUCUGCAAAUGGACCUCCAAGAACUCAGGACAGGGGACAUGGACCAGAAGCACCCCCUGAUCUGCCUGGGGUCUCCAACAUACUGUUCUUCCCUCCCACCCCUUUCAAGGGCUAUCCAACGUUGGAAAGAAUAAAAACUCAGAGUCAAUAGAUCUGGGUUUACAUCACAGCUUUACUCAUGAGACAUGAGACAAAUGACUUAGUCCUUCUGAGCCUCAGUUUUCUCCUCUGUAAAAUGGGAAUAAUCAUUGUAGAUGCUUCACAGAGUUGUGAAAACAUAAUGGGUAUCUAUCUAUCUAUCUAUCUAUCUAUCUAUCUAUCUAUCUGGAAUGAAAAUGCACCUGGCUCAUAGUAGACACUUGUUAACUCGAAGCUGCUUUAUUUUUGUUGUUGAUUUCUUAUUGUGAUUUUUUGUGACAUUAAAAGGCAAAGUUUACUUUCAGAGCUCCAAGCCCGAACUAACUCACCCACCAAAAAAGGGGCACGGAGGUGGGAGGGAGGAUGGGGGUAAAACUAAUAGUUGUCAGCCUGAUCCCAUUGAUCUC
rnacentral:lncRNA from 1 species